rnacentral:rRNA from 1 species
UACGGGGGGUGCAAGCGUUGCUCGGAUUGACUGGGCGUAAAGGGAGCGUAGGCGGUCGUAAAAGUCAGUUGUGAAAUUCCGGGGCUCAACCCCGGAGCUGCGACUGAAACUUUUCGACUAGAGGAUGGUAGGGGAAAACAGAAUUCUGCAUGUAGCGGUGAAAUGCGUAGAUAUGCAGAGGAAUACCGGUGGCGAAGGCGGUUUUCUGUACCAAACCUGACGCUGAGGCUCGAAAGUGUGGGGAGCAAACAGG